rnacentral:rRNA from 1 species
AUUGAACGCUGGCGGCAUGCCUUACACAUGCAAGUCGAACGGCAGCAUAGGAGCUUGCUCCUGAUGGCGAGUGGCGAACGGGUGAGUAAUAUAUCGGAACGUGCCCUAGAGUGGGGGAUAACUAGUCGAAAGACUAGCUAAUACCGCAUACGAUCUACGGAUGAAAGUGGGGGAUCGCAAGACCUCAUGCUCCUGGAGCGGCCGAUAUCUGAUUAGCUAGUUGGUGGGGUAAAAGCCUACCAAGGCGACGAUCAGUAGCUGGUCUGAGAGGACGACCAGCCACACUGGGACUGAGACACGGCCCAGACUCCUACGGGAGGCAGCAGUGGGGAAUUUUGGACAAUGGGGGCAACCCUGAUCCAGCACUGCCGCGUGAGUGAAGAAGGCCUUCGGGUUGUAAAGCUCUUUUGUCAGGGAAGAAACGGUAGUAGCUAAUAUCUAUUACUAAUGACGGUACCUGAAGAAUAAGCACCGGCUAACUACGUGCCAGCCGCCGCAGUAACAC